CGGCGAGUGAAGCGGCAUAAGCUCAAAUUUGAAAUCUGGCUCUUUCAGGGUCCGAGUUGUAAUUUGUAGAAGAUGUUUCGGGUGUGGUACCGGUCUAAGUUCCUUGGAACAGGACGUCAUAGAGGGUGAGAAUCCCGUAUGUGACUGGUUACCUACGCCCAUGUGAAACUCUUUCGACGAGUCGAGUUGUUUGGGAAUGCAGCUCAAAAUGGGUGGUAUAUUUCAUCUAAAGCUAAAUAUUGGCCAGAGACCGAUAGCGCACAAGUAGAGUGAUCGAAAGAUGAAAAGCACUUUGGAAAGAGAGUUAAACAGUACGUGAAAUUGUUGAAAGGGAAGCGCUUGCAAUCAGACUUGCGCCUAGUUGAUCACCCGAGCUUCUGCUUGGUGCACUCAAUUAGGCUCAGGCCAGCAUCGGUUUGGGUGGUUGGAUAAAGGCUUGGGGAACGUAGCCUCCUUCGGGGGGUGUUAUAGCCCCAGGUGCAAUGCAGCCUACCUGGACCGAGGACCGCGCUUCGGCUAGGAUGCUGGCGUAAUGGUUGUAAGCGACCCGUCUUGAAACACGGACCAAGGAGUCGACCUAUUUAGCGAGUGUUUGGGUGUUAAACCCAUACGCGUAAUGAAAGUGAACGGAGGUGAGAACCCAUUAGGGCGCAUCAUCGACCGAUCCUGAUGUCUUCGGAUGGAUUUGAGUAAGAGCUAAGUGGGUCGGACCCGAAAGAUGGUGAUCUAUACGUGAAUAGGGUGAAGCCAGAGGAAACUCUGGUGGAGGCUCGCAGCGGUUCUGACGUGCAAAUCGAUCGUCAAAUUUGCGUAUAGGGGCGAAAGACUAAUCGAACCAUUAAACCUUACUAGGUGGUUGAUAGGGGAUCUUGCGAGAUCCUUUAGUUCCAACUCGGGGCAACAUCGUCAAAUUGUUCGGGGACCACCUGUUAAUUUGCAAGCUACCGCAGCCAGCUCGAAAGGGUUGGUGCGCACCUGAGAUAACAGUUCAGGGUAUGGUAAUAACGCUUGCGUAGGGUGUAUCCGCAGCGAAUCCCUAACCCUUUCAAAGGCAUGGGUGUCGUUCACAGACUAGACGGCGAUGGGCGUGGUGUGUGUCAAGGUGCAGGCUUAGUAACCCUUCCCUAACUCGCGCGUCACGCUUAAGAUAUAGUCGAACCCCCCAGAGAUGGGGUGAAU
rnacentral:rRNA from 1 species